rnacentral:rRNA from 1 species
CUGGGGAGUACGGCCGCCAGGUUAAAACUCAAUGAAUUGACGGGGGCCCGCACAAGCGGUGGAGCAUGUGGUUUAAUUCGAUGCAACGCGAAGAACCUUACCUGGUCUUGACAUCCACGGAAGUUUUCAGAGAUGAGAAUGUGCCUUCGGGAACCGUGAGACAGGUGCUGCAUGGCUGUCGUCAGCUCGUGUUGUGAAAUGUUGGGUUAAGUCCCGCAACGAGCGCAACCCUUAUCCUUUGUUGCCAGCGGUCCGGCCGGGAACUCAAAGGAGACUGCCAGUGAUAAACUGGAGGAAGGUGGGGAUGACGUCAAGUCAUCAUGGCCCUUACGACCAGGGCUACACACGUGCUACAAUGGCGCAUACAAAGAGAAGCGACCUCGCGAGAGCAAGCGGACCUCAUAAAGUGCGUCGUAGUCCGGAUUGGAGUCUGCAACUCGACUCCAUGAAGUCGGAAUCGCUAGUAAUCGUGGAUCAGAAUGCCACGGUGAAUACGUUCCCGGGCCUUGUACACACCGCCCGUCACACCAUGGGAGUGGGUUGCAAAAGAAGUAGGUAGCUUAAGCUUCGGGAGG